rnacentral:sRNA from 1 species
AUGAAGGCCUGGCUUCGCGGCCGGUGAAAUAUUUUUUCACCCAUGUCUUUUGCGCACUUGUUGUUUCCUGGGCGGGUUCGCCCGCCACCAGGACCAAACCAUAAACCUUUUUCUUAUGCAGUUUCCAUCAGCGUCAGUAAAAACAAUGUAAUAAUUACAACUUUCAACAACGGAUCUCUUGGUUCUGGCAUCGAUGAAGAACGCAGCGAAAUGCGAUACGUAGUGUGAAUUGCAGAAUUCAGUGAAUCAUCGAAUCUUUGAACGCACAUUGCGCCCUUUGGUAUUCCAAAGGGCAUGCCUGUUCGAGCGUCAUUUGUACCUUCAAGCUUUGCUUGGUGUUGGGCGUUUUUGUCUCCCUCUUUCUGGGAGACUCGCCUUAAAACGAUUGGCAGCCGGCCUACUGGUUUCGGAGCGCAGCACAUUUUUUGCGCUUUGUAUCAGGAGAAAAGGACGGUACUCCAUCAAGACUUUUACAAUUUUAACUUUUG